CAGGGUCUCGCGACUCUCAAACCCACUGUGCAUCAAUACUAUUUACUGCUGCGGCGGGCCGCUCGCUAGGGGAGCUUAGGCCUGUAAAGGUGGCCCGCCAAAGCAACUUUUCAAACACUUUUGAAAUUAAACCAAAACUUUCAAUUAAAUAUCA
rnacentral:misc_RNA from 1 species